rnacentral:rRNA from 1 species
GACGAACGCUGGCGGCGUGCUUAACACAUGCAAGUCGAACGAAAAGACCCUGCGUUUGUGGGUUGCUCGAUUGGCGAACGGGGGAGUAACACGUGAGUAACCUGCCCUUGACUGUGGGAUAACUUCAGGAAACUCGGGCUAAUACCCGAUAUGAGCUCCUGCUGCAUGGUGGGGGUUGGAAAGAUUCGGCGUUUGGGGCUGGACUCGCGGCUUAUCAGCUUGUUGGUGGGGUAGGGGCUUACCAAGGCUUUGACGGGUAGCCGGCAUGAGAGGGUUACCGGCGACAUUGGGACUGAGAUACGGCGCAGACUCCUACGGGAGGCAGCAGUGGGGAAUAUUGCACAAUGGGCGGAAGCCUGAUGCAGCAACGCCGCGUGCGGGAUGACGGCCUUCGGGUUGUAAACCGCUUUCGCCUGUGACGAAGCGUGAGUGACGGUAAUGGGUAAAGAAGCACCGGCUAACUACGUG